CAAAGGGAUUACCGGUGGCGGAUGGCCAUGCGGCGCAUUAGCUAGUCGGCGGGGUAACGGCCCACCGAGGCGACGAUGCGUAGGGGUUCUGAGAGGAAGGUCCCCCACACUGGUACUGAGACACGGACCAGACUCCUACGGGAGGCAGCAGUGAGGAAUAUUGGUCAAUGGCCGGGAGGCUGAACCAGCCAAGUCGCGUGAGGGAAGACGGCCCUACGGGUUGUAAACCUCUUUUGUCAGGGAGCAAGAGGCGGGUCGAGACCUGCUGUGAGAGUACCUGAAGAAAAAGCAUCGGCUAACUCCGUGCCAGCAGCCGCGGUAAUACGGAGGAUGCGAGCGUUAUCCGGAUUUAUUGGGUUUAAAGGGUGCGCAGGCGGAGGCACAAGUCAGCGGUAAAAUCGCGGGGCUCAACCCCGCUCCGCCGUUGAAACUGUGUCCCUUGAGUGCGCGAAGGGUAGGCGGAAUGCGUGGUGUAGCGGUGAAAUGCAUAGAUAUCACGCAGAACUCCGAUCACGAAGGCAGCCUACCGGCGCGCAACUGACGCUCAUGCACGAAAGCGUGGGUAUCGAACAGGAUUAGAUACCCUGGUAGUCCACGCAGUAAACGAUGAAUGCUAUCUGUCCGGCCGGAAUGACGGCUGG
rnacentral:rRNA from 1 species